UACGUAGGGCGCAAGCGUUGUCCGGAAUUAUUGGGCGUAAAGGGCUCGUAGGCGGUUUGUCGCGUCGGGAGUGAAAACCAGGUGCUUAACACCUGGCUUGCUUUCGAUACGGGCAGACUAGAGGUAUUCAGGGGAGAACGGAAUUCCUGGUGUAGCGGUGAAAUGCGCAGAUAUCAGGAGGAACACCAGCGGCGAAGGCGGCGCUCUGGGCCGGAACUGACGCUGAGGAGCGAAAGCGUGGGUAGCAAACAGG
rnacentral:rRNA from 1 species